rnacentral:rRNA from 1 species
CAGCAGUGAGGAAUCUUCCACAAUGGGCGAAAGCCUGAUGGAGCAACGCCGCGUGCAGGAUGAAGGCCUUCGGGUUGUAAACUGCUUUUAUAAGUGAGGAUUAUGACAGUAACUUAUGAAUAAGGAUCGGCUAACUACGUGCCAGCAGCCGCGGUCAUACGUAGGAUCCGAGCAUUAUCCGGAGUGACUGGGUGUAAAGAGUUGCGUAGGUGGCAAGGUAAGUAGAUAGUGAAAUCUGGUGGCUCAACCAUUCAGACUAUUAUCUAAACUAUCUAGCUCGAGACUGUUAUGGGUAACUGGAAUUUCUAGUGUAGGAGUGAAAUCCGUAGAUAUUAGAAGGAACACCGAUAGCGUAGGCAGGUUACUGGGACAGUUCUGACACUAAGGCACGAAAGCGUAGGGAGCAAACGGGAUUAGAUACCCCGGUAGUCUACGCCGUAAACGAUGGAUACUAGCAGUUUUGGGUAUCGACCCCCGGAGUUGCGAAGCUAACGCGUUAAGUAUCCCACCUGUGUAGUACGAUCGCAAGAUUAAAACAUAAAGGAAUUGACGGGGACCCGCACAAGCGGUGGAUCAUGUUCUUUAAUUCGAUGAUAACCGAUAAACCUUACCAGGUCUUGACAUCCUUGGAAUCUUUCAGAAAUGAGAGAGUGCUUUUUAAGAGCCAAGUGACAGGUGAUGCAUGGCCGUCGUCAGCUCGUGUCGUGAGAUGUUUGGUUAAGUCCAUCAACGAGCGCAACCCUUGUCAGUAGUUGUAUUUUUCUACUGAGACUGCCCCGGCAACGGGGAGGAAGGAGGGGAUGACGUCAGGUCAGUAUUUCCCUUACGUCCUGGGCUAGAAACGUGAUACAAUGGCUAGUACAAUGCGCAGCGAAGCCGCGAGGUGAAGCAAAUCGCAUCA